ACGUGACCCAAACUGCGUUGGCCGUUGGGGGCAAGGGAUCCCCGCGCUUGGCCUGCGGACUCCUGGCCCUGUGCUCUCCGCACACCGCGGAGGGUGGUCCUUGUCGCGUCCCAAGGGGAUUGAACUCAGGUCCUUGCGCUUGCGCAGCAGGCGGCGAAACUACUGAGCUAAAUGCCCGGCCCUGCUUCUUUUUCUUUUAAACCCUGUUCUGCCAAGUCUCGCUGGAGAAAGAAAACACAGACACUGGCCCUAGUGGUCCCAGACCUCCGCGGAGAGAGGAGAAAGGUGGGGAAAACAAAGGCCAGUGAAGGGUAAGACUGGAGGGAUCUGACGUGAAGAGUCGCCAUUCACCUGUCAUCAGCCAACAGUAGAGCAAGUUCACAUCCCACAGUUUAGAAGAGGCCAGUUUCCCAAAGGUCCCAGUAGAAAAAUGCAGCCUAGAACCCAGGAGUACUCGAGGCUUCUGUCACCACUGGACGUCAAAAAGGGUCAUUUGAUGACACUUAACCACUUGUGAGUCCAGGUGAAUGAACAGAACCUGCGGAAGAUGACAAGUACAGUUUCCUUUCCACUAGAAAAAAGACUGAGCUGAAGAUUGCUAAAAGUGAUAAAGCAAGUGUGGAGAUUUGCAUUAUUUCUCUGUGCUUCCCCUCUCCUCUAUUCCUUACUAUAAAAGACCCUUGCCCGAGAUACACAAUCAGAUAGAUGGUGAUUUGAGGCAAAUAGGCCCCUCCAUCUCCUCAGAGCUAGUAUUGAGCUUAUGAACCUAAGUGGCCAAUAACAAUAGGAGCAAGGAGAGGGCAACAAGUGGGAGAAUUGGAACAAUUUACCAAGUAAAAAGGGAGGUCUUAGUGUUAAUGAUGCUCCCUUAAAGUCACAUACCAAACGAGGUUAGGAGAGCUUUUAUUGGAAAUAAUAAGACUAGCUCUUGAAUUUUCAGGGAGGAUGAAUGGACAGCCACUUGUCCCCUCGAUCUAGAGCUACUAUUGGAUAAGCAGAGCAUAAGAAUUCCUCAGUUGUUCAAUGGCCACCUAUCAUAGGUGACUUUGAAUUAAAAUGACCAAUUGGAACUCAGUCUCUUGAACCCAGUUCUUCUGUUCAUAAGGUUUAAAGGAAACUAGGAUUUACAGAAAAACUGGUUAUUUUGCAUUUUAUGUUUUUCAAAACUCAGGAGCUUAGUAGGAAAUAGACUGCUUUCCAGAUUGCCUGAGGAACCUUGGAACUCUUGAUCCAGUAUAGCUGAUUACCCAACUCUAUCUCAGGUCCUUCCUCUAGCUAGCUGCCUUAACUCAUGAACUAAGUAAGUGAGCUGUUUUCUACUUAAGUGAUAGGUUCAGAUUCACAUGUGGUGUCAGCAGAGUUCUGGGGUGCUGUGGGGUUCUUCUAGAGAUUCUAGGUUCUUGUCCUGAACAAAGAAUUGGUCAAAACAAGCAAAAAGGUAGCAAAGUUUUACAUUUAUUAAAGGUAGAAAAAGAAAUAUGCUCCGCAGAGUGAGUGUGGGGCAGUUAAAGGUAGGAAAAGAAGUGCACUCUGGAAAGUGCAGAGUGGGCCAGUGAAAAGGCUCACAGCAGCCAUUAAACUCAUGGUGACGUCAGAUCUAUAUCCCCCAAGCUGACGUCAGAUCUAUGCCAUGCUAUCAAAUGCCUGCUUGAUUUCUCACAAAAGAAUUGAAGAUAGCAUUUUCUGACUGAUCCUAGGCACAGGGCUUGGAACAGUUUUUCUGCACAUGUGUUCUGGAUUUCUGUGAUUGGUGGAUCAUACCCACUUGCCCGGCCGCUUUGCCAUGCCCUAAUCUCCCCACAGGAGGGUUGGAUAUAGAUAGAAGGGGAGAAAGUCAGAGAUGAUUGAUGAUUUCUGGUGGGCCCAGUAGAUGGGUACUAAUGCCAUUGCUGAGAUCUGGGGUACACUAAGUUUAGACUCAAGCAGCCCUUGAAGGAUGCAUUGAUAACAGCUUUCCUGGCUCUUAGCCCAGGCCUCUCAUUGUUUUCUGGAAUGUCUCUCUGCCUACUCAGAAGCUCUCUUUUUACCUCUCCAUGAAAGCCCAUCUUUCAAGCUCCCUAACUCCAGAAUUUUGUUCAGUGUCAGGUUCCAACACCUUGUCUUUGCACUCCUUUCAAUUCAAGUGUUUUUCACCCUUCUCGCUGUCCAGGAUUUGGAGAGAAAAGGGGUCAAAUGCUGCUUCAUUUUCAAUAAGGCUUUUGUAUUCUUGAAACCUACUUUGGAAAUGUAUUUAAAGGCUGAGUGUCAGGAGAAAACCAUGUCCUCCACCUUCUUAGGUUAUUUAAGGCCCUGCAAAUUAAAUUCAUAAAAGACAUUAGCAAGACAAAAAAAUCUUUUUUUC